CCUACGGGAGGCAGCAGUGGGGAAUUUUGGACAAUGGGCGCAAGCCUGAUCCAGCCAUGCCGCGUGCGGGAAGAAGGCCUUCGGGUUGUAAACCGCUUUUGUCAGGGAAGAAAUCUUCUGAGUUAAUACCUCGGGAGGAUGACGGUACCUGAAGAAUAAGCACCGGCUAACUACGUGCCAGCAGCCGCGGUAAUACGUAGGGUGCGAGCGUUAAUCGGAAUUACUGGGCGUAAAGCGUGCGCAGGCGGUCUUGCAAGACAGGUGUGAAAUCCCCCGGGGCUUAACCUGGGAACUGCACUUGUGACUGCAAGGCUGGAGUACGGCAGAGGGGGAUGGAAUUCCGCGUGUAGCAGUGAAAUGCGUAGAUAUGCGGAGGAACACCGAUGGCGAAGACAAUCCCCUGGGCCUGUACUGACGCUCAUGCACGAAAGCGUGGGGAGCAAACAGGAUUAGAUACCCUGGUAGUCCACGCCCUAAACGAUGUCAACUGGUUGUUGGACGGCUUGCUGUUCAGUAACGAAGCUAACGCGUGAAGUUGACCGCUGGGGAUACGGCCGNAAGGUUAGAAACUGAAAGUGAAAGUUGACGGNNGAGACGAGACGACGACGACGACGAGGGGAGGAGG
rnacentral:rRNA from 1 species